rnacentral:rRNA from 1 species
AUCUAAGCGGGAAGCCUACCUCAAGAUAAGAUUUCCCUAGGACUUUAUGUCCUCUAAAGAGCCGUUCGAGACUAGGACGUUGAUAGGUUGGAUGUGGAAGCAUAGUGAUAUGUGAAGCUGACCAAUACUAAUUGCUCGUGAGGCUUGACUAUACAACACCCAAGCAGUUG